GACGAACCGUGCGAACGUUAUUCGGAAUCACUGGGCUUAAAGCGCGUGUAGGCGGGCCGGCACGUCGGGCGCUGAAAUCCCCCGGCUCAACCGGGGAAGGGGCGCCGAUACGGCCGGCCUGGAGGGACGUAGGGGGGGCUGGAACUUCCGGUGGAGCGGUGAAAUGCGUUGAGAUCGGAAGGAACGCCCGUGGCGAAGGCAGGUCUCUGGGCAUUAACUGACGCUGAGGAGCGAAAGCAUGGGGAGCGAACAGG
rnacentral:rRNA from 1 species